rnacentral:rRNA from 1 species
UCUAAAAGGGCGAGGGUAAAAUUCAGUUCUUUAAGGAAUUAUAGCAAUGAUACUUUAUAUCCAUGAUAAUAAAGGAGGAUUAGAUACCCUGUUAUACUUGGGUAAACAACUUUAAGUAGUAGGGUCUAUUUACUGAAAUUUAAAAGGUUUGGCGGCUUUUAGAAUAAUCAGGGGAAUUUGUGGUGUAAUCGUCAGUACGCGUUUCACCUUACUUAAUUAUGACUUGUAUACCGCCGUCUAAGGCGGCUCGGAAGGGUCGUAACUUAAACUAGAUAUAAGAACGUCAGGUCAUGGUGCAGUUUAGUUAAGUAAUACACAAAUUACAUUUAAAUAAUAAGCGGAUUUAAAUUUUAAAAUUUUAAUAAAGAUGGAUUUGUAAGUAAUUAAGGGUUAGAAUUCCUUAAUGAAUUUAAAACUAGAAGUGUACAUAUCGCCCGUCGCUCU